AGAGUUUGAUCCUGGCUCAGGACGAACGCUGGCGGCGUGCUUAACACAUGCAAGUCGAACGGACAGACAGAGAGCUUGCUCUCUUGAAGUUAGUGGCGAACGGGUGAGUAACGCGUAAUCAACCUGCCCUUCAGAGGGGGAUAACAACGGGAAACCGUUGCUAAUACCGCGUACGAUUCAUAGGCGGCAUCGCUUGUGAAUGAAAGGUGGCCUCUAUGUAUAAGCUAUCGCUGAAGGAGGGGAUUGCGUCUGAUUAGCUAGUUGGAGGGGUAACGGCCCACCAAGGCAAUGAUCAGUAGCCGGUCUGAGAGGAUGAACGGCCACAUUGGGACUGAGACACGGCCCAAACUCCUACGGGAGGCAGCAGUGGGGAAUCUUCCGCAAUGGACGAAAGUCUGACGGAGCAACGCCGCGUGAGUGAUGAAGGUCUUCGGAUUGUAAAGCUCUGUUAAUCGGGACGAAAGAGUUCUGUGUGAAUAAUGCAGAAAAGUGACGGUACCGGAAUAGAAAGCCACGGCUAACUACGUGCCAGCAGCCGCGGUAAUACGUAGGUGGCAAGCGUUGUCCGGAAUUAUUGGGCGUAAAGCGCGCGCAGGUGGUUUAAUAAGUCUGAUGUGAAAGCCCACGGCUCAACCGUGGAGGGUCAUUGGAAACUGUUAAACUUGAGUGCAGGAGAGAAAAGUGGAAUUCCUAGUGUAGCGGUGAAAUGCGUAGAGAUUAGGAGGAACACCAGUGGCGAAGGCGGCUUUUUGGCCUGUAACUGACACUGAGGCGCGAAAGCGUGGGGAGCAAACAGGAUUAGAUACCCUGGUAGUCCACGCCGUAAACG
rnacentral:rRNA from 1 species